rnacentral:sRNA from 1 species
ACCGCCACGGAUGGCGGUGAUUCUAUUCAGUAGCACGUUUGCAUUGCAAACGUGUAGGUAAAGAAUGUACAGGGAUGUACAUUUUUUGCCGUGC